CUGAAAUAGCGUGAAGUUCAAGUCUACAUCUCCUCCGACUUGAAUAAAUUUACCCUCAGUCACUAUAAAAGCCGCUCCUCUCACCCAGGAUCUUUGAAGCUGAGGCUUCAAAGUAGACCUUCUGGUGCUUCCUAAGCGAAACCCUCCGCCCUCGGCUUGCUUGUGGGGAUACAGAAGAAGCCGCUGUGAGGAGACAGUGGAUUAAUACCUGUAAGGUGUGGAGACCACCACCAGACACAGAGAGCUCAAUAACCAUUGUUGUUGAUCUGUUUAUACUAUUUACCACUGAGACACCCAUAUUCCUGCCCUCAUGACCCCUCCAGGCCCAUGUUCCUCUUAGGGCGCAGAAAGCAUCCGGGAGAAGCCAGAAAGCUCCUCUAAGCUCUUGCUAUCUUGCCAAUUCGCUUUCACCAAAUAGUGGCCAGCUCCUCCCUCCGCCACAGGCCAUUCUGGGGGAAGCCCUGUCUCUCCCCUCUCCCAGUGCCCUCAGUGGCAGGUGACACAAGCUCAUCACAUUUAGUCCUGCACCAAGGUGUGCAGAAGAGUCACUGGGAGCCAUUUCUGAGGCUGCCAGGCUGUAAUGGGUGGUGGGAAAAUGGAGAAUAAACACACUUCAAUGAGUGGAGCUGAGUUUUCCCUCCAGGAUGCGGAAGAAUCCAGAUUCAAACCUGUGAUCCAGAGCCCCUGAGAGCUCCUGGCUAGCCACACCCUGCAAGGCUCUCAGAUCCUGCCCAUCUGGGGCUGAUGGUGGCUUGGUGGGUGUGUACACAGGGCCACUCUCAGGGCCGUUCCACCUUGAAGGCCCCCCCCACCACCGCCGGGGACAGACAGCUGGGGGCACCAGUUCUCUGGUGGUGAAGCCUGCAGGCUUCCAGGGAAAUGUGAGCUAGAAAUGCUGAGGGAUAGAGCCUUCCAGGGCCCCUCAAGUCACACCCAAAGCCUCAGGCCCACCCUGUCAAUCAGCCCAUCAGUCAGCUAAGGGGACACUGGGAGGAACACAGGGAAAGUCACGGCCAAGGCCUCAGGCCACAGGAGUCUCCUCCGGGAUGGGCCCUUAGGCUUUAUACCCUCGCUCCUGCCUCUCCCACCACCACGGGCCACUGGGUCAGAGGGUAAAUUCACAGCUCACACUUGGCGCUUUCCAGGUCUUUCCGAGGGCCGGCACGUUGUAAGUGCAGACCUAUACUACACGGAUUAAUUCGUUCAGCGCUCACAGCAAGUGCAUGAGGGAAAUGCUGUUACUAUGCCUCCUUCCGCAGGUGAAGGACUCGAGGCCCAGAGAAUUAAGAUCCUGUGGCUGAGAAAGGCAAAGCCAGGGGGUCCUGGGGCAUGAAAGCAACUCCGCAACUUGUGACAUGGACUUUAUUUUUUACCAGAAUGGGUCCUGGACCUGUGCUGAGAAGAAGACAGCACAAGUGUCUUUGGUGGGGCUGGAGCUGCCAGAUGGGCUGUGCCAUCAGGCCGCCUCCUCUCUCCAGUGUUACAAGGGACUGUAGGAUAUUUAUUCACACAGACACAGCUCCAUUUACAUUCAGGGUACUGAAGAGCAUUAGCCAGCUGCCGGCCUGCCUGUUCUGGGGAGCGUUUUGGUGCACUGCCACCAGAGGCAGUUCGCAGCCGCCUGGACACGUCACUGCCCGAGCAGAGUGAGCUCUGCCCCAGGACUGUGCCCCUGCCCUCAGCACGCCUGUGUAAGAGCUGCAUCACUUCUGACACUUUAUGCUCUGUGAUGAUGUGUGUACCCCUUGGCUCUUUCAAUAAAAGGCAAACCCCUAAAGCAGAGAGCGUGCCUUCCAUCCAUCCAUUGACUGAAUAUUUUGUGAGCACUUACUAUGUGCCAGGACUGCAGCUAGGGACUAGGAGGCUUUGAGGGGUGGCAGGUCUGGGUGGCCGAGACAAUGAAGGAGUGAUGCAUAGUAGGAGGAGUGCUGAAUACAGAGGGGAAGCAGGCGGGGGCAGAUGGCUGGGCCAUGGCCAGGAAGAGCUUUCCAGAAGGUCAGAGGCCGCGGAGGUGAGCCCGCCACAUCACGCUGUGGGCUGUCGGAGCUGUGUGUGUGGCUAGGCCUGUGGGGGGUGGGGAUGGGGGGGGUGGGAGGAAAUGGAGACACAGUGGACAGGGGACCUUGUCAAUCUUCCCCUCUAUGUCUGUGAGGGAAAAGGAAAUAGAGCAGAGGCAAAAGUGGGGUGAUGUGGUUGUUUCUUUGCUUUUCUAGGUGAGAGAUUUUGAGGAUAAUUAAAAACAGAGGGAGCGGGUGGUGUGCAGAGGCAGGGGUGCAGGAUGCAGGAGGGAGGAGGCACAGAAUCCGGCCACCCUCACUGUCCCAGAGGGCAGGAUGCGAGCACACGCAGCUGGGGAUCUCAGCCUCCCACUUCUGUCUUCCUUGUGAUGCAGAUGGUAAACCCCAGUGGGUCCACCUCUGCCAAAAGCUUGAGGGCAGAGGUGAGGGCUUGAGACAGCCCCUGGUUAGGGCAUGGGAGAACUGAAGAGGUUCACAUCCCUGCAUCUAGCUCAGAACACGGCCCACAGCUGGUACCCAAAAAUGUUUGCUGACCUUGACCGUAACUGACUCCGGGUCCGUUCCCACCCCACCUGCAGGCCUCCCAUAGCCUUAGCUCACAUCUUAGAUGGUCUCCAAGGCUCUUGGGACCCAAGCCUGCCCACAGCCCCCUCAUCUGGGGCACUGCCCCUGCUCCCAGGCCCACCCAGGGCCCUCUUUCCAUUCCUCCUGCCCUGCUCUAUCUUCCCAUCUACUUGAUGGACAUCUAUGCCACUGGCUCAUUCCUGCCUGUGGGCCGUGGCACCUGCCACUCCCUCUGCAUGAGAAGCCCUCCUUCUCUUUCAGCUCUGGUUCCUCCAGGCAUCACCCUCAGAAAAGUCAGGCCUAGGGAGUUCUGGCUGUGGUGCAGCGGAAACCAAACCAACUAGUAUCCAUGAGGAUGCAAGUUACAUCCCUGGCCUCACUCAGUGGGUUAAGGAUCCGGCAUUACUGUGAGCUGUGGUGUAGGUCACAGAUGCCACUCAGAACCCGUGUUGCUUUGGCUGUGGCGUGGGCUGGUAACCACAGCUCCAAUUCGACCCCUAGUCUGGGAACCUCGAUAUGCUGUGGGUGUGGCCCUAAAAAGACAAAAAAAAAAAAAAAAAAAAAGAAAAAAAAAAAAAAAAAAGAAAAAAAAAAAAAAAAAAAGAAAGAAAAGGAAGGAAGGAAGGAAGAAAAAAGGAAGAAAAAAAGAAAAAAGGAAGGAAAAGAAAAAAGCCUCCCCUGGCCAUUUUAAGUGUUGGAGCUCGCCCUCCCAUUUCCCCACAUCACCCCCAGCAUUUGUUCACAAGGUAUUAGUCUCUGUCAUUCAGUGUUUCUUCUCGGAAGAAGGUGACCUCGAUGAGGGUCAGAUCUAGUCUGUCUUGUCCCCUGUCUGGCACCUGGGAAGCACCUCACGAGUAUGGAAGGAAUGAAUGAACGCAGAGACCCUGCCCCAGGCAGGCUGGCCUCAGCUGUGCAGGGAGAGCAGCCACGUCUUCCCGGCCCCCCACCCCUACCCCCACCGGGGUCCUCCUCCUAUUAUUUUCCUCCUAAAUUGCCUUCUGGGGAUUUCCAAGAGUUGGCUUACAUAGCAUAAUCAAGACAAACUGGUUAUAUAAACGAGGCCCCCUGUGGACCACCCUAUGCCUUUUCUAAAAUGUUAUUUUUACCCCGCAUUUUCUCUUCUGGGGAUUUGGGCUUGUGUGGUAAGCCUUUAAGAUGUGGCUCUUUGGUUUUUCAAGAGAGAUUUUGUAUCUCUGGCCAGUCAGAUGCACAGCCCACCUCAUCCAUAUUGACUAGACAGCUCCUCAGCCCUGCAGUCCACAGAGGCUGCGGAAGGAGCAGCAUCUUUCUUUCCUCCUCUAGCUGGACACUGCUGGGAACUGAGACCUAGACUGCAGGGGCAACACGGAGAAUGGAAUCUGCUGAUACUCCAUCCAUUUGUAGCUCGAGAGAGGCUUACUGAGCACCCGACACUGCUCUGCACAAUUUCCUAGGUCAUAGUCCUCCAGAAUGCCACCCGAUGGGCAUGUCCCCAUUUUAUAGAUGAUGGCCGAGGCACAGAGACAUCAAGGAAAUUGCCCUAAAGUCACACAGUAGUGGAGGGGUCAGGACUUGGCUCCACAGUGUCCAAUAUCAAAGCCAGCACCAUACCGUCUCUUUCACUUUUCCCAGCCUGUCCCCAGAGCUGUGGACAGGAUGAACAAGUGACUUCAGGUGCUGCCCCCCACUCCCCCUCCCUCCCUCAGAUGCCAACCAACCUGGCAGGACUCCGUGGAGCAGCCCAGACACUGGCACCAAACAACCCAGGUUGGAUCCCAGCUCUGCCUUCUUCUCAACACUUCAUUUCCAGGAGUAACUCCCUGUGCUUCUCAGAGAUACAUUCCUUGUAUGACUUGGGAAUUCCUUGGAGAAGCUUAAGAGCAAGAGAAAUUGGGUAGGAGGAACACACCCAUGAGAGAAAUCUAGACGCUGAAAAAUCGGAAAGGGCCCUUAUUAUGAUCCAGGCUGAAUGCCGAGUUUGAAGGAUAAGGAGGCGGAGGCUCACAGUGGGGAGUGACCUGUCCAGGGCUUGGGACGUGUCAGGGGAAGAGCAGAGUCCAUUCCCUCCUCCCCUCCUGCCCUUCCUGGUCCAUCACUAGCGGAGGUGUGCUCCAGGCUGUCCAUCUCCUCCACUACCGAGAGAGAGAGGACUCUGGCUUUCCUAGUGGCACAGUCUUCUCCUGACUGCAGGGAAAGCCUGGCCCUGCCUGGCAGCCUGCCCACAAAGAGGGACCAAAGGGGACAGGGUCAAAAUAGAACUCUCUGCUCACCUUCCCCCAGACUCUUGAGGGAUUUGGGCAUGAGAAAAUGAACCACAGUGUGCGAGGGAAGUAGUUAUGAGAAAAAAUGAAGGUUUUUAAGAAUUUUUUCUCUGGCCUAACGAGCCCACUUCAAGAUAUUCAAGAAAAAAUUUAAGUGACACACUGGUUGUUAGAUAGGGCACUUCUCAGAUGCCGGACUCUGAGAGUCCCAGUAUUGGUUCAUAAUAGUAUUUCUUUGAGCACCAGAUAUGUUCCAGGAACCCAGGACUCCAAGCUGUCCUGAAAACCAUGUCUAAAAGUAGGGAUCUGAGUCACUCAGGACCCUGCCCUUUAUCCAGCAGGUCUGAGUCUAGAAACUACUCCAGAAAUAUCUAUUUUCGGUCCCUUGGCAAGCAUAGCUAUGGCAGUGCUCCCCUCCUACUUUCCAGAUAUCUAUGUAUACUUGUCAACAGAGAUUUAACUGAAAAUAAGGGUAAACCUGUGAUAGAGGCUGCAAUAGGGAUUUAUUCUUCUCACUUAAGAAGUCUGGAGGUGGCUAAUGGCUGCUAGUGAUAAUUAGGUAGCUCCACGCCAUCAGGGCUAAUGUCUUGAAGGUUCUUUUGAUCAUUACCUCAUGAUUGCAAGAUGGCUGCUGAAGCACCAACCAUCAAAUUCUUAUUCACAACAGGAAGAAUGGAGAAAGGAUCAAGAACUUCACAGCAGAGUUCCAUCUAUGUGUUAUCAUCUAGCAUUGCGUCUCAUGGGAAAAGGCACUAGUAGGAGAUAGGUUGGGAAUGGAGUGUGGGUCAGGCAACCCACAUUAUCUGCCAUCCUCUCCUGUGACUAUAUUUAUUUCUGCCUAACUCAGCUGAGGUUACUGGUGUCUAAGGUGUAGGUUGACAAGAGCUUCAGGGGCUGCCUCUUUAGGAGGAGAGUUAAAUGAUCCAAAAGCCUCCAAGAUACAAAGAUAGGAAGUCACAAAUAGUAGGAAAGUAGGUGGGUGGAUAAGGACGUUAGAUAAGGACGUUGAAUCUGGUCCCGCCUCAAAUU
rnacentral:lncRNA from 1 species